rnacentral:rRNA from 1 species
GUUUGAUCCUGGCUCAGAACGAACGUUAGCGGCGCGCCUAACACAUGCAAGUCGAGCGAGAAAGGGGCAACCCCGGUAAAGCGGCGCACGGGUGAGUAACACGUAGGUAAUCUACCCUCGGGUGGAGGAUAACUUUCCGAAAGGAAGGCUAAUACUGCAUGAGACCACGAUUCCGGAAGGGAUUGAGGUCAAAGCCGGCCACUGUACACAAGCUGGCGCCUGAGGAUGAGCCUGCGGCCCAUCAGCUAGUUGGUAGGGUAAUGGCCUACCAAGGCGAAGACGGGUAGCUGGUCUGAGAGGAUGAUCAGCCACACUGGAACUGAGACACGGUCCAGACUCCUACGGGAGGCAGCAGUGGGGGAAUCUUGCGCAAUGGGCGAAAGCCUGACGCAGCGACGCCGCGUGAGUGAUGAAGGCCU